rnacentral:rRNA from 1 species
AUUGAACGCUGGCGGCAUGCCUUACACAUGCAAGUCGAACGGCAGCACGGGUGCUUGCACCUGGUGGCGAGUGGCGAACGGGUGAGUAAUACAUCGGAACGUACCUUAUCGUGGGGGAUAACGCAGCGAAAGCUGUGCUAAUACCGCAUACGCCCUGAGGGGGAAAGCGGGGGAUCGAAAGACCUCGCGCGAUUAGAGCGGCCGAUGCCUGAUUAGCUUGUUGGUGGGGUAAAAGCCCACCAAGGCGACGAUCAGUAGCUGGUAUGAGAGGACGCGACGCCACACUGGGACUGAGACUCGGCCCAUACUCCUACGGGAGGAAGCAGUGGGGAAUUGUGGACAAUGGGGGCAACCCGGGGCCAGCAAUGCCGCGUGAGUGAAGAAGGCCUUCGGGUUGUAAAGCUCUAUUGUCAGGGAAGAAACACCGGCUCUAACACAGUCCGGGAAUGACGGUACCUGAAGAAUAAGCACCGGCUAACUACGUGCCAGCCGCCGCAGUAA